ensembl:snRNA U6 U6 spliceosomal RNA
CUGCUUUGGCAACACAUAUACUAAAAUUGUAACGAUACGAAAUAAUUUAACAGGGUCCCUGUGCAAGGAUGACAUACAAAUUUGUGAAGUUCCAUAAUUUUUU